GCCGGGUGUGGUGGCGCGCGCCUGUAAUCCAAGCUACCGGGAGGCUGAGGCUGGAGGAUCGUUUGAGCUCAGGAGCUCUGAGCUGCAGCGGACUAUGCCGAUCGGGUGUCCGCGCUAAGUUCGGUAUCGAUAUGGUGCUCCUGGGGGAGCUCGGGACCACCAGGUCGUCUAAGGAGGGGUGCACCGGCCCAGGUCGGAGACGGAGCAGGUCAAAGCCCCCGUGCCGCUCAGUAGUGGGAUCGCGCCUGUGAAUAGACGCUGUAGUGCAACCUGAGUAAUACAGCGGGACCCAGUCUUU
ensembl:misc_RNA Metazoa_SRP Metazoan signal recognition particle RNA